CGAUGAGCGCAGCGGCGACCAUCAGGAUCGAACCGAGCAGAUAACCGGCGAACACGCUGUCGCGGGAACCGGUGUCAAUCAGCACUCCAAACAGCGCCGGCCCGGCGAUGCCGCCGAUGCNNNNNNNNNNNCAAUGGCCAGAGCGCGGACCUCGAGCGGAAAGGUUUCGCUCACGGUGAGAUACGCGGCACUGGCCGCCGGCGACGCAAAGAAGAAGAUCACCAUCCAGGCGAUUGUC
rnacentral:misc_RNA from 1 species